GGCCGGGUAGCUCAAUGGUAGAGCGUCUGACUACAACCUACUAUCCCUAGAACCUAGAACCUAUCUCCUAGUAUCCUUACUCUGUAGUCAGAAGGUUGCAGGUUCGAGUCCUGCCCUGGCUA
rfam:Metarhizium majus ARSEF 297 Scaffold_15, whole genome shotgun sequence.